rnacentral:rRNA from 1 species
AGAGUUUGAUCCUGGCUCAGAUUGAACGCUGGCGGCAUGCCUUACACAUGCAAGUCGAACGGCAGCACGGGAGCAAUCCUGGUGGCGAGUGGCGCACGGGUGAGUAACGCGUAUGCAACCUACCUAUAACUGAGGGAUAGCCCAUAGAAAUGUGGAUUAAUACCUCAUAGUUCUUUUGUUCCGCAUGGGAUGAAAGAUAAAGCUCCGGCGGUUAUAGAUGGGCAUGCGUGACAUUAGCUAGUUGGUAAGGUAACGGCUUACCAAGGCUACGAUGUCUAGGGGUUCUGAGAGGACGACCAGCCACACUGGAACUGAGACACGGUCCAGACUCCUACGGGAGGCAGCAGUGGGGAAUUUUGGACAAUGGGCGCAAGCCUGAUCCAGCAAUGCCGCGUGCAGGAUGAAGGCCUU